rnacentral:rRNA from 1 species
UGGGGAAUAUUGGACAAUGGGGGCAACCCUGAUCCAGCAAUGCCGCGUGUGUGAAGAAGGCCUUCGGGUUGUAAAGCACUUUAGUUUGGGAGGAAGAUGUAUAGUUUAAGAGAUGAUACAUUUGACUGUACCGAAAGAAUAAGCACCGGCUAACUCUGUGCCAGCAGCCGCGGUAAUACAGAGGGUGCGAGCGUUAAUCGGAGUUACUGGGCGUAAAGGGCGCGUAGGCGGUUUAAUAAGAUUGAUGUGAAAUCCCUGGGCUUAACCUAGGAACUGCAUCGAUGACUGUUGAGCUGGAGUAUUGUAGAGGGUAGUGGAAUUUCCGGUGUAGCGGUGAAAUGCGUAGAGAUCGGAAGGAACACCAGUGGCGAAGGCGGCUACCUGGACAAAUACUGACGCUGAGGCGCGAGAGCGUGGGGAGCAAACAG